rnacentral:misc_RNA from 1 species
AGGUGAACCUGCGGAAGGAUCAUUAAAGAGUAAGGGUGCUCAGCGCCCGACCUCCAACCCUUUGUUGUUAAAACUACCUUGUUGCUUUGGCGGGACCGCUCGGUCUCGAGCCGCUGGGGAUUCGUCCCAGGCGAGCGCCCGCCAGAGUUAAACCAAACUCUUGUUAUUUAACCGGUCGUCUGAGUUAAAAUUUUGAAUAAAUCAAAACUUUCAACAACGGAUCUCUUGGUUCUCG